CAGCCGCCACGGUAAUACGAAGGGGGCUAGCGCUGCUCGGAAUGACUGGGCGUAAAGGGCGCGUAGGCGGCAUACACAGUCAGACGUGAAAUUCCUGGGCUUAACCUGGGGGCUGCGUUUGAUACGUGUAGGCUAGAGUGGGGAAGAGGGUUGUGGAAUUCCCAGUGUAGAGGUGAAAUUCGUAGAUAUUCGGAAGAACACCAGUGGCGAAGGCGGCUCACUGGACGACUGUUGACGCUGAGGUGCGAAAGCGUGGGGAGCAAACAGGAUUAGAUACCCGCGUAGUCCCUGUCUCUUAUAC
rnacentral:rRNA from 1 species